GGAGAUAUACCUGUUCCCAUGUCGAACACAGAAGUCAAGUCCUAUUGCGCUGGAAGUACUUGGGGGUUGCCCCCUGGGAGAUA
rnacentral:rRNA from 1 species